CACGUAGGCACCAAGCGUUGUCCGGAUUCAUUGGGCGUAAAGAGCGCGCAGGCGGCUUGGUAAGUCGGAUGUGAAAUCCCGAGGCUCAACCUCGGGUCUGCAUCCGAUACUGCCCGGCUAGAGGUAGGUAGGGGAGAUCGGAAUUCCUGGUGUGAGCGGUGAAAUGACGCAGAUAUCAGGAGGAACACCGGUGGCGAAGGCGGAUCUCUGGGCCUUACCUGACGCUCAGGCGCGAAAGCUAGGGGAGCGAACUGG
rnacentral:rRNA from 1 species